CCGUAAAGUAACCGGAGGAAGGUGGGGAUGACGUCAAAUCAUCAUGCCCCUUAUGACCUGGGCUACACACGUGCUACAAUGGUCGGUACAACGAGUUGCGAGUCGGUGACGGCGAGCUAAUCUCUUAAAGCCAAUCUCAGUUCGGAUUGUAGGCUGCAACUCGCCUACAUGAAGUCGGAAUCGCUAGUAAUCGCGGAUCAGCACGCCGCGGUGAAUACGUUCCCGGGCCUU
rnacentral:rRNA from 1 species